rnacentral:rRNA from 1 species
GUGGGGAAUUUUGGACAAUGGGCGCAAGCCUGAUCCAGCAAUGCCGCGUGCAGGAAGAAGGCCUUCGGGUUGUAAACUGCUUUUGUACGGAACGAAACGGUCCUGGUUAAUACCUGGGGCUAAUGACGGUACCGUAAGAAUAAGCACCGGCUAACUACGUGCCAGCAGCCGCGGUAAUACGUAGGGUGCGAGCGUUAAUCGGAAUUACUGGGCGUAAAGCGUGCGCAGGCGGUUUUGUAAGACAGGCGUGAAAUCCCCGGGCUUAACCUGGGAAUUGCGCUUGUGACUGCAAGGCUGGAGUGCGGCAGAGGGGGAUGGAAUUCCGCGUGUAGCAGUGAAAUGCGUAGAUAUGCGGAGGAACACCGAUGGCGAAGGCAAUCCCCUGGGCCUGCACUGACGCUCAUGCACGAAAGCGUGGGGAGCAAACAGGAUUAGAUACCCCGGUAGUCC